AAGAGGUUGGCUGCCCUGUCACUGUUACCUAAAUAUCCGGUCUACAGAAUCAAGUCAUGUUAAGAGGUUGGCUGCCCUGUCACUGUUACCUAAAUAUCCGGUCUACAGAAUCAAGUCAUGUUAAGAAGUUGGCUGCCCUGUCACUGUGACCUA